ACGCUGCAGUGGUGUUUGCGGGAGGCUGGAGGAGGGACAGCCUCGAUGGGGAACACGCAGGAGAAGCCUCCAGUGAGCGGGGGAGGCGGGAUAACAAAACCGGACCGCACCACUGCAGGGACCGCGAACACCACCAGGGACCGAAAUAGCCCUGGAAAUCCCCAUCUGGAGCCUGAAAAAGGACUCACCAAUGGCACCCGGAGCCCGGAGGAGGGAAGCGCAGCGGACACAAGUUAUCUGGACGCUCCCGCUGGAGCCCUCCCCCCACACCUGGCGCGUCUGAAGAACGAGGGGAACCACCUCUUUAAACACGGCCAGUUUGGGGAGGCUUUACUAAAGUACAGCCAGGCCAUCGACGGGUGCGCUGAAGCAGAUGUCGACAGCACUGAGGAUCUGUGCAUCCUCUACUCCAACAGAGCUGCAUGUUACCUGAAGGAUGGGAACAGCACCGACUGCAUCGAGGACUGUACUAAGGCCUUGGAGCUCCAGCCGUUCUCAUUGAAGCCGCUGCUGCGUAGAGCCAUGGCCUAUGAGUCACUGGAGCGUUACAGAAAGGCUUACGUGGAUUAUAAAACUGUCCUGCAGAUCGACACCGGGGUGCAGGCGGCUCAUGACAGCGUCCACAGGAUCACUAAGAUGCUAAUAGAGCAGGACGGCCCCGAGUGGAGGGAGAAGCUUCCAGUGAUUCCCGUCGUCCCGCUGUCCGUCCAGCAGAAACACAGAGAGAAACCGGUCAGCGCUGAGGUGGUUCAGGCCCGAGCUGCAAAGGCUGCACUGGACGAAGCCAGAAGAAAAGAAGCUCGCUUUACUUUGUUGAAGCAGGAUGGGAACGAUCUGGUGAAGAAAGGCCUUUUUGAGGAGGCACUGGUGAAGUACAGUGAAUGUCUCACCAUCAAACCGGAUGAAUGUUCACUCUACACCAACAGGGCUAUAUGUCUCCUGAAGCUGAAUAGAUAUGCGGAGGCCAAACAGGACUGUGACUCUGCACUCCAGCUGGAGCCAAGCAACAAAAAGGCCUUCUACAGACGAGCGCUAGCUUACAAGGGUUUACAGGUAAUGGCCCGGAACAAGAUCACGGGACUACCUCUCCGCCAGCGGUGACCUUCAGGAGGUACUGCAGCUAGAUCCCAAUGUCAGAGAGGCCGAGCAGGAGCUGGAGGUGGUGACACGUCUGCUGAGACAGAGCCUACUGGACGGGACAGCACACACAGCCACGAUGUGAUUUAGAAGCCGAGGAUUCACAUCUGGCGCUGUAGCAACCCUGGAGCCAUCUGCAGCAGUUUAAAUGGAAACUGGUGCCCAGUCCUGGAAAGACCUGUGUCAGCUUCUUCAAGUGCGCACCAGAACCUUACUCACCAGGCAGCUUUGAGUUUAAAGUGUCAUGACCUGAUGACCUGCUUGCACAAUGAAGCUUCUGCGCGAAGGACAGUGUCAUGCAGCGUUGAUAUGACGGGGAGAAGAGUGCCUUAGAGAUUUAUACUGCUCAUGAACGGUUUCUUAAUGAACAGAUUUCUGUAAUGCAUGUUUGCAACGCAGGUUUGAGCAUGAUUAAAUGCAUUUACACUGACUGCUGAUUGUACUGUUCCAGCCUUCACAUCUUCUGUUGGUUUCCUUCUGGCAUGCCAUUCUUGAAUGUAUAGACUAGCAGUUGGAAUUGUCUGAGUGUUCAUAUUUAAAGACAAUGGCAUCACGGUUGAACAUUUGAAAACAGUUGAAAGUUUUGAAAAACAGUUUUAUUUGUAUGAAAAUAUUCUGUUGUGAUUAUCAUCAGUCGGAACUACUACAGCUGGAAGUCUCAGGUUUAGUGAUGUUUCAUCUAAUGUGCACUUAGCUUAUCACAAAGUAGUAAUAGAUCGAUGGACUUUCAGGAACUAAGGUUUCCGUGGUGAUGAUGCAGGUUUGAGAAUCUGAGAUUGGGCUUUGCAUAGUUUACUACCCAAUAAAUUAUUAUGCCGAGCUAUAUUUUUGUCACAUAAAUGACUAGUAAUUUUUUAUUAAAUAUGUAACACAGUUCCGCUUGGUCAAAACUUAUUACUUAUUACAUAUUAUUGAUUGGGUUUUUUUUGUAAAUGAACUUGCAUGCUGGUAUGAAAAUAACAUGAAUGCAAAUAUGUGUGUAAUAUACAGAGAGAAUGCUUAGUCAUGCUUUGCUUUUUUUAAAUAAUAUUUAAAAUGUUUUUUGCAUUUUUCCUUCUAAUCCCACAAAAGUGCCUCUAUGUUAUCUUCACAUUUUCUACUCGUAAUUCACGACCAAAAUAUCCAUGACUUAAAAUAUGGAAGAGCUUUCGUUUUCGGUCAUUAGGGCUCUGUUUGCUUGCGUGUUGGUUUGUACACAUACGAUAACUCCAAAAUGGACUGACAUAUUUCAAGGGGUGAUUGGAAAUGGGCUAACCCAUGGUGUUGGUCGGCUCCUUUGGACUGGUGACCAUAGUAAAGUCCAAAUAGAUGAAAGGCAUCUCCAUUCACCAGACGUUCUGACUUAACAAAACACAGGAUACAAUCAAAUCACUGCAACAUGCCAACUGUCAAUUGACACUGGUGACAAAAUGUGGCUCUACCUGUUCUGAAAACUUUCUUAGCCUGUUCUUCCUCGCCUGUGUCCACAUGCACAUUUUAAAAUAUGUAUACAAAAAUAAGUCAUUAUUUCCUUCUUCAGUCCUUUUCAUUUUUAUUUA